rnacentral:rRNA from 1 species
AGAGUUUGAUUCUGGCUCAGGAUGAACGCUGGCGGCAUGCCUAACACAUGCAAGUCGAACGGGGUUUAUAUGACAGAACUCUCCGGAGGGAAGAUAUAUAAACCUAGUGGCGGACGGGUGAGUAACGCGUGGGCAACCUGCCCUGUACCGGGGGACAACAGCCAGAAAUGGCUGCUAAUACCGCAUAAGCCUGCUGUGCCGCAUGGCACAGCAGGGAAAACCACGGUGGUACAGGAUGGGCCCGCGUCUGAUUAGUUAGUUGGCAGGGUAACGGCCUACCAAGACAACGAUCAGUAGCCGGCUUGAGAGAGUGGACGGCCACAUUGGGACUGAGACACGGCCCAGACUCCUGCGGGAGGCAGCAGUGGGGAAUAUUGCACAAUGGGGGGAACCCUGAUGCAGCAAUGCCGCGUGGGUGAAGAAGCACUCCGGUGCGUAAAGCCCUGUCAGCAGGGAAGAAAAUGACAGUACCUGGACAAGAAGCCCCGGCUAACUACGUGCCAGCAGCCGCGGUAAUACGUAGGGGGCAAGCGUUAUCCGGAUUUACUGGGUGUAAAGGGAGCGCAGGCGGCGUGGCAAGUCAGAUGUGAAAACCCGGGGCCCAACCCCGGGAGUGCAUUUGAAACUGCCAUGCUGGAAUGCCGG